UGUCUAAAUGAUGGAGAAUGAAUGCAUGUCUUUCCUUCUCAAAGUCUGUGUGCAAGAGAGACUUCCUCAAGUCUUCCAUCCAUACCAAAGAUAUGAGUUCUAACACUUGAAACCCACAAGGCUGGAAGUUCAACUAAAGAAGAGCUCAUGUAAAUAUAUUGCCAUAGUUUCUGUGCAAGAUAACAUUACAAGAGGAGAUUUUCGAAAGCAUAAAAAGGUCUUCAAAAAGCUACUCAGAAUGACUACAGGAAAAAAAAGUAAGUACACCCAUGUGGAAAACAAUGU